rnacentral:rRNA from 1 species
GGCCUACCAUGGUGGUAACGGGUAACGGGGAAUUAGGGUUCGAUUCCGGAGAGGGAGCCUGAGAAACGGCUACCACAUCCAAGGAAGGCAGCAGGCGCGCAAAUUACCCAAUCCCGACACGGGGAGGUAGUGACAAUAAAUAACAACACAGGGCUCUUUCGGGUCUUGUUAUUGGAAUGAGUACGAUUUAAAUCUCCUAACGAGGAACAAUUGGAGGGCAAGUCUGGUGCCAGCAGCCGCGGUAAUUCCAGCUCCAAUAGCGUAUAUUAAAGUUGUUGCAGUUAAAAAGCUCGUAGUUGAAUUUCAGGCCUGGCUGGACGGUCCGCCUUUUGGGUGAGUACUGUCUGUGGUCGGGUCCUACCUUCUGGCGAAGCGUCAUGGCCUUAACCGGCCGUGGCGGGGAACCAGGACUUUUACUGUGAAAAAAUUAGAGUGUUCAAAGCAGGCAAUCGCUUGGAUACAUUAGCAUGGAAUAAUGGAAUAGGACAAUGGUUCUAUUUGUUGGUUUCUAGGACUGUUGUAAUGAUUAAUAGGGAUAGUUGGGGGCAUUAGUAUUCAAUUGUCAGAGGUGAAAUUCUUGGAUUUAUUGAAGACUAACUACUGCGAAAGCAUUUGCCAAGGAUGUUUUCAUUAAUCAAGAACGAAAGUUAGGGGAUCGAAGACGAUCAGAUACCGUCGUAGUCUUAACCAUAAACUAUGCCGACUAGGAAUCGGGCGAUGUUGACAAAAUGACGCGCUCGGCACCUCAUG